AGAAUUAUUGAGAUGAGAGGCGUGGAGCCUGUGUAACUUCCUCCAACAAUCCGAAGCCAAACUUAACUACCACAGGACUAGUCUCAGUUGCCUUUGCAAACGAACCUGUUAGCAUCGCCAAGCCACCGAGUAUAGGUAGUUCCUUAGUAGCUAUGUCUGCCUCUCAAGCUCUUGGUAUUGAACGACGAUUUGUGGUUCUUUCGUUGUAUAAAACUGGGGCUGGAUGGGUAUUGAAAGGAAAAGGACCGACAGUGUGUCUAUUCGAUGAUCAUGAUCAACAAAGCGAACGGCGAGAGAUUCAGUAUAUUGCCACCAUUGUAUGAGGAGGUGACUGGAAUUGAUGAAGCUCAGCCUUUUGAAGAUCUCCAAUAUUUCUGUAUAAAAGCAGCUGACCAUGAUGGUCAAAUUGUAAUUGUUGUUUGUUUGGAUGGUCACUAUCUUAGGUAACACCAAAAAAAAUUUAAAUUAUCUUUUCUAGUUUGUUGCAGUAUAACAUAUUGUGAUUUGAUGAUCAAACAUUUUGCA